AACGAACGCUGGCGGCGUGCUUAAGACAUGCAAGUCGACGGUAAGGCCCCUUCGGGGGUACACGAGUGGCGCACGGGUGAGUAACGCGUGGGUAACCUACCCUUGGGUCUGGGACAACUCCGGGAAACUGGAGCUAAUACCGGAUAAGACCACGAGGGUCUUCGGGCCUCGCGGAAAAAGGUGGCCUCUUCUUGAAAGCUACCGCCCAUUGAUGAGCCCGCGUCCCAUUAGCUUGUUGGUGAGGUAACAGCUCACCAAGGCGACGAUGGGUAGCUGGUCUGAGAGGAUGAUCAGCCACACUGGAACUGAGACACGGUCCAGACUCCUACGGGGAGGCAGCAGGUCGGGAAUCUUGGGCAAGUGGGGGCAACCCUGACCCAGCAACGCCGCGUGAGGGAUGAAGGCCCUAGGGUCGUAAACCUCUGUCGGGAGGGAAGAAUUCUCCUGGGGUGAACAAUCCCUGGAGUUGACGGUACCUCCAAAGGAAGCGCCGGCUAACUCCGUG
rnacentral:rRNA from 1 species